GCCUGAAAAGGGGUUGUUGUCAUGCCUGGGCACAGGAGCUUGAGCUCAGCUCCUCCCUUGGCCAGCUUGGCAGAUCCUACCUUUCUGAAGGGACAUCACAGCCAUGUGACUGCAGGGCUCCGGGCUGAAGAUACUCCAUUUCUGAGACUCCUUUGUAAAGCAGACAGCAUUUGAUAGAACCGUUUGUUCUAAUUGGAACUAAACUUGCUGCUGCAUUGAAAUGGAAUAUGAGGUCUACAGGACUCAAACUGGAACAACGGGUAUAUCCUCUCUGCUCUAAUGCCUCCAAUCAUGUUAAGUCAAGUUAACUGGAAAAUCAAUUGACAUGAAUUCCAGCAUGACCAUUAACUGCCAUCCGGCUGGGCCCCGGGAGACUGGCCAAGAUGAAGCAGAUUUCUAACAGCGAUGGAGCAGAACUCUGCGUGUUCAUCUCCUAGAGAUGCCUUCAACCCGAGGUCUUCCUAGCAAUGCCCACGUUGCCCUGAGUAAUUACUGUGGCUAACGGAGAGCCCAGGGGGUCAGGCAGUCUGGGAUUGAUUAUGGGCUCUGCCCUUGGCUUUCCAGGGCAAGCGAUGCAGCUGCUCUGUACACUCCUGCUGGCACAGUCACAUUUGUCAAAAGCAUAAAGGAAAUGAGUGAGACCUGGACUGACCGAGCUGACCAGACGGAUCCCUUGAGUACAUAGAAAAGUAUUGUAGCAGCAAAACUGUGUUUUCCACAGCACAGCUCAAUUUCUCCUGCAGAGGAUGUUUCUGCUCUGUUGGUAAAAAGCAGAGCUUUGCUGAUGUGGCUUUGCUCACGCAAGAAGCAUUUUGCUGCUAGAGUGGACCUGAAUUUCUCUCUAAAUGUUUCUCGCAGGCUUUACCCGUAUGUCUCUGCGUCCUGCCUUGCAUCAGGGAUAAUGAUAUCAAUCUCAUUCUGAGAAAGGCAUAAAGCUCUUUUCAUAUGUUUGCAAUGCACAUUAGACCCAUGGACAAAGGCUAUCCUAAGCACAAAAUCUCAU